rnacentral:rRNA from 1 species
CACUCCUACGGGAGGCAGCAGUGGGGAAUAUUGCACAAUGGGCGCAAGCCUGAUGCAGCGACGCCGCGUGGGGGAUGAAGGCCUUCGGGUUGUACACUCCUUUCGCUAGGGACGAAGCUUUUUUGUGACGGUACCUAGAUAAGAAGCACCGGCUAACUACGUGCCAGCAGCCGCGGUAAUACGUAGGGUGCGAGCGUUGUCCGGAAUUACUGGGCGUAAAGGGCUCGUAGGUGGUUUGUCGCGUCGUCUGUGAAAUUCUGGGGCUUAACUCCGGGCGUGCAGGCGAUACGGGCAUAACUUGAGUGCUGUAGGGGUAACUGGAAUUCCUGGUGUAGCGGUGAAAUGCGCAGAUAUCAGGAGGAACACCGAUGGCGAAGGCAGGUUACUGGGCAGUUACUGACGCUGAGGAGCGAAAGCAUGGGUAGCGAACAGGAUUAGAUACCCGGGUAGUCCCAUG